rnacentral:Y_RNA from 1 species
GACUAGUCCGAGUGUGGUAGUGAUUAUAAUUGGUUGAUCACAACCGGUUACAAGUAUCUUUGUUCCUUCUUCACUCUCACUAUUUCAUUUGAUUAGUCUUAA